UGCGAGAGGAGUUGGUGUCUCCUGUGGCUGAACGGCAUGUGAGCUUAGCCUGAAGCUCAUUUUAUUACACAGCCCUAUGCCUAAUCUUCCUGAGAAAAGAUCAAAGAUGCCUUUAGCAACAUCUCUCACUCUUCUCCUGCCCUCUGCAACAGAAACCCUGAGUGUAUCAAACAGUGGAUAUUGCUAUGUGCAUACUGUACACCUGACGCCACGGCAGUCAUUGUGAGUGGGCGAUGAGAGGUGAGAAGAUGAAGGGAAAGAGGGAGAGCCUGACGGUAUUUACCACAGAAUCAAACCACACUGGACAUCCCUACAACAUGCGCGAAGAGCUGCCAGCACAGACCGCAGCCUGCUGACUGCUGACAAGGCAUCUGCCAAGUUCAUUGCUUCCCUCAAGGACGCAGGUAAAUGCUACAGCAUUCCUCUCAUUCUCCCACUGCUAAGGAACAAAUUUAGAUUCUGCCUCAAGUUCAACCAAAGACUUGCUCUUACACUGCUGGCCAAUAUUAAAGACAGGAGCAUUAAACACUCAUGAUAGGAAAAUCAAGCAGUCUUGGUAAGUCCCAGCCAGA